GGGAAUGUGGCUCAGGGGUAGAGUGCUUGCCUUGCAUGCAUGAGGCCCUGGGUUCGAUUCCUCAGUACCA
rnacentral:tRNA from 1 species